rnacentral:rRNA from 1 species
AUUGAACGCUGGCGGCAUGCUUUACACAUGCAAGUCGAGCGGCAGCGCGGGGGCUACCCUGGCGGCGAGCGGCGAACGGGUGAGUAAUGCAUCGGAACGUAUCCUCGAGUGGGGGAUAACCCAGCGAAAGUUGGGCUAAUACCGCAUGAGCUCUGAGGAGGAAAGCGGGGGACCUGCGAGGGCCUCGCGCUGGAGGAGCGGCCGAUGUCCGAUUAGCUAGUUGGUGGGGUAAAGGCUUACCAAGGCGACGAUCGGUAGCUGGUCUGAGAGGAUGAUCAGCCACACUGGGACUGAGACACGGCCCAGACUCCUACGGGAGGCAGCAGUGGGGAAUUUUGGACAAUGGGGGCAACCCUGAUCCAGCCAUGCCGCGUGAGUGAAGAAGGCCUUCGGGUUGUAAAGCUCUUUCGGACGGAACGAAAUGGGCGGGACUAAUACUCCUGUCUGAUGACGGUACCGUAAGAAGAAGCACCGGCUAACUACGUG